rnacentral:rRNA from 1 species
CAGUCGCCGCGGUAAUACAGAGGGUGCAAGCGUUAAUCGGAAUUACUGGGCGUAAAGCGUUCGCAGACGGUUACAUAAGUCGGGUGUGAAAGCCCCGGGCUCAACCUGGGAAUUGCAUUCGAGACUGUGUAGCUAGGGUACGGAAGAGGGAAGCGGAAUUUCAGGUGUAGCGGUGAAAUGCGUAGAUAUCUGAAGGAACACCAGUGGCGAAAGCGGCUUCCUGGUCCAGUACCGACGUUCAGGCACGAAAGCGUGGGGAGCAAACAGGAUUAGAUACCCGCGUAGUCCCUGUCUCUUAUAC